AUGAACGCUGGCGGCGUGCCUAAUACCUGCAAGUCGAGCGAACAGAUAAGGAGCUUGCUCCUUUGACGUUAGCGGCGGACGGGUGAGUAACACGUGGUUAACCUACCUAUAAGACUGGGAUAACUUCGGGAAACCGGAGCUAACACCGGAUAACAUUUGGAACCGCAUGGUUCUAAAGUGAAAGAUGGUUUUGCUAUCACUUAUAGAUGGACCCGCGCCGUAUUAGCUAGUUGGUAAGGUAACGGCUUACCAAGGCAACGAUACGUAGCCGACCUGAGAGGGUGAUCGGCCACACUGGAACUGAGACACGGUCCAGACUCCUACGGGAGGCAGCAGUAGGGAAUCUUCCGCAAUGGGCGAAAGCCUGACGGAGCAACGCCGCGUGAGUGAUGAAGGGUUUCGGCUCGUAAAACUCUGUUAUUAGGGAAGAACAAAUGUGUAAGUAACUGUGCACGUCUUGACGGUACCUAAUCAGAAAGCCACGGCUAACUACGUG
rnacentral:rRNA from 1 species